rnacentral:rRNA from 1 species
UCGACCUCAGAUCAGGUAGGGAUACCCGCUGAACUUAAGCAUAUCAAUAAGC